rnacentral:rRNA from 1 species
CAAUAGCGUAUAUUAAAGUUGUUGCAGUUAAAAAGCUCGUAGUUGGAUUUCGGGGCAGCCUGGCUGGUCCGCCGCAAGGCGAGUACUGGUCAGCCGCCCUUCCUCUCGAAAGCCCCGACUGCUCUUCAUUGCAGUGGUCGGGUAGUUCGGGACGUUUACUUUGAAAAAAUUAGAGUGUUCAAGGCAGGCCUACGCCUGAAUACAUUAGCAUGGAAUAAUGGAAGAGGACCUCGGUCCUAUUUUGUUGGUUUCCAGGGCCGAAGUAAUGAUUAAGAGGGACAGUUGGGGGCAUUCGUAUUUAAUUGUCAGAGGUGAAAUUCUCGGAUUUAUGAAAGACGAACAACUGCGAAAGCAUUUGCCAUGGAUGUUUUCAUUAA